GCCCCCGCCGGUGAACGCGACGCCGACGCGUGGUUCCCAACGAAGCGUUUUGCGGAAGAUGUGCUUUUCGAUUCGCCCUGCGUCACAAAUAGCCCCAAAGUCCAGAAACGGUAUCCGCCAAGGCCCAGCGCUGCAAACACCAGCAGAAAGAGCAGCAGGACCACCGUGGCGAGCGUGGGGAUGCCACCGUCCAACCUUCGACGCCUCUGGUGCCAGUUGGGCAGCUGACCAGGAUGCUGCUGCUGAACUCCAUCCACGAAGAACACGGGACGGCUCUGGUCGCAGUUCAUGGCGCCGCUCCGAAUGCGAGACGUAGGAUAAUGUGCAAGUUGGGAUUGCUGAAAGGGGAAACAUGCAACAUGACAGCCAUUCUUGCCGUGAAAAUAUCACCAAGUAACCUCUUAACCAACCUGGCUCCACCAUUCUCCAGGGGGGAUCCCAGAGAGGGCAUACCCCAGCUGCGACUCACAUCCAAGGGUACAGGUACACUCAUCGCCUUGGUAUCUCCAGGAAAGAGGAGGAAGCACAUGUGUGUGUACGUGUGGUCACAGUGUAAGCCCAGCUAAUGAGUCACACAAUAAGUCACUAAUCUUUGCCGAAGGUCUUGUGUUGUUUGGCAUGGAUAUCAGUGACUGUGGAAAGACGGAACUUUUUCUUCACUUGCCUCUUUGGUGAAAAAUUCCAGUGGUGCACUCACACACCUCCAUCAGUACAUUAACCCGAACUAGCAACGAACAAAUUAACUACAAUAAUAAAGUCCCUAUCAUAGCACAUAGAUAAUGUUGGUAUUUUGUCAGGUUGCAAAUGGUUGCAAACAAUUUUUCUUGUCACAGACGACUAUUACAACUUUUGGCCCAUGUCGAACGAACUUACCCUGACAAAAACAAAUCCACAUUCAGGCUUAAGUAAUAAAAACAAGUAACUAAUUAUUAAUAUUAACUAACUAACUGAUCCUAGCCAGGGGCCACUUUGAGCCUGUUACCCCCUCACCCCUGCGUGAGGUUAAGUAUGGGAAUGUGGGGGAGUCACAGAGAGUGUUAAUUGUGGUCUGUCUUAGAAGUAAUUGCCAAAAAUCUCAUCAUUUCAUAGCAGAGAUACAAGUGUUCUUUUUUGUCAUUCGCAACAUAGACGCUCGGCUUGUUUUCCGCGACGUGUUUGGAAUUCCGGAGAGCGCCGGGAGGUCAGCCCGUCUUUGGACCCCCGACCCCCCCCACCAACCCAACACCACCACCACACCCAGCCUUAAAAAGGCACAAACCCAGCUAUAGUUCUCCAGAUAUUCACACAGGAAGCAUGGCAACUAUGAGGAGGAGUUCUGCAGGAAGAACAGGAAUGCUCAUUUUAGGGGGGAAUUUCCCUCCAAAAAAAAAAUAAAAAAAUAGCAAAACAAUGCAAGUUUGUCACAGUCGGGUUGAAGUUAAUCAGGUUUGUGCAUGACUGGCAUGACACUGCACAAAAUAAAAUACAUGCGCACCAUUUCAAGAAAAAAAAUGAUUAUUUUCAUUGGGAGCACAAAAAAAUUGUCGAAAUAAAUAGUAUUGAGAAAGUUAAAUUAGAAAUGAAAACAACUUCCAAUUCAUACGGAAAGAUUGCCAAGAAGAAUGUUGGAAUGGGCUGUUUGAAAAAUGCGAGUCCUUGACCCUUUGUUACCUCCGGGAAUGGAUGAUUGCAUGGGUCCCCCCUUGGCCACUCCCUUCAAAAUGCUUGUUGUUGAGUGUGGUGCUCUCUUGAAGCAUAUUAUUUGAUGGCCCGGGUAACAUACAUCUCAAUGAGUGAUAUCUUUAAUUUAAAGAAGGGCUCGUCCGGGAGUUGAACCCGGGACCUCUCGCACCCGAAGCGAGAAUCAUACCACUAGACCAACGAGCCACACGCAACACUGAAGAAUUUCUUACAUCAAAAUUUAAUGGACACUUUCCUAAUGCUAACUCCUGCUAACAAUAGCACUUACUAGAAGGAUAGCAGCUUGGAAAGCGUCCAAAAUACUUGUUUGGUUUUAGUUAUAGAAGAAACUUUCAAAUGGGUUUUUGCUUAUCCAUGCAGGCUCACACACACAAAUUGAACCGCUAAUUUCUUUGAAUCCUUUCCCAUGAACUUCAUUAGGCUUUUUUUUUGUUUGACUUGCUAACCCUCCAAAUCAAAUUGCCUUCUCAGACCUUUCGCUCCACAUUUCAACUGGAAAUGCGAUGAUCAAGUUUCCGCGGGCAAGGGGGAUUUGAUGUUUGGAUGUGUGUGUGUGUGUGUGUGUGUGUGUAACUGGAUCUUACUUUGGAGGAUUACACAAAAACUAGACAAGCAAUAUGUGGCUGUAUGGGUGGCACAUCUUCAAAGGAUGGUGGCAAAUUUAAUUGUAGCCUUUUUCUUCUUGCUAACUUUUUGUUGUAGCUCGUAAAAAAUGUUUUUAUGCUAAGUAUAAUUUGCUAUGGCUUAAAUACAUGGCAAAAAUAUUCAACAUUUCUGACCUAUUUUCUUGAAAACUUUUUCAAACGCAACAACGUAAUUUAUUUCUACAAAAUAUGUGAUAAAAAUAUCAGACUUCUUUAUUUGUCCGUUUUUUAUGUUAUUUCAUUUUGGGUUUUUUUUUUCAGGCUGUUUUUUCUACUAGUUUUUUGUUUGUAAAAAAUUGCCUGUUGUUUUUAAAUCUGAAUUUUUUUAAUUUCUUGUCAACUUUUCCUACAUUUUUGUCCAAUUUUUUGUCCUUUUUUUUGCAUGUGAAGGGGUACACACAGAGGAUUGAGGGGUGGGGGGGUGGCGGAGUGAAGACAGAUGUGCCGGGAGAUUGUAGCGGUGGGAAAGAUUAGCGGGACAGCUGCGGGCGGUGCAGCUACUCUUACAAAAAAACUUUUGGCCGUAGUUCAAGUUUCAGCUGCUCCUCCCUGUGGUGCAUUGUCGCUCUCUCUGUCUCUCUCGCUGUGCUUGACAUUUGCCAAAUAGUGAGCCUGCAGUCCAUUUGGGAAGGUCAGGCUUGACGUGACAGCCGUCAGGUGCGAGGCUGGGAAAAGGAGAGACGCUGAUGUGAUGGUUGACGUGCAGCCAGAGCAGGCAGGCAUUGACUUCAUCACCUGACGCUGCCCGUGACCUCCAGGUUAACAAGCUAGAGACCAUGCACACACACUCACACACACACACCGAUGCAAAGCCAUGGCUUGAUGCUUUCCAGACACAAGCUACUCCCUGCCGCCGCUCGGCUUGGUACUCUUACCCCCCUCUCCCACCAACUCACACACACACACACACACACACACACACACACACACACACACACACACACACACACACACACACACUCCCUUCACCACCAGCGCCUGCUUAUCAAAAGUUUUUGCCUCUUCAGUUCCCAUUUUCCCAUGCACAGACAAAACAGAGCGGCGGUGCCAAGGGGGCUGGCGUGGCUGGGGAGGGGGGGUCGGUGUUGGUGGGCUUCCUGCACUUCACUUAGGCCCGCUUUGGAGGCGGUUUACGGCCCCGCAGGCUUCCUCUGCACCUUGGCUCGGUGAUGACAAGAUAGAGGACGGGACGCACACACACGCGUAUUGACCUCGGGAUUGAGAUGAACUUUCUGAGGAGCGACAUCCGCCCCCCCCCUUCAAAUCUGCCCUUGUUGCACACAUGUGCUCUCACACACACACAUGCAAAAACACACUCAAGCACUCCCACUCAGCGGCCUAAUGUGAGAUAGAUGCUAUUGUUUUGACGUGGCCUCAUAAAUACAUAGCACAGGCUGACAGGUCCUAUUAGCGCCCGUAAGCUGCUUUAUGAAUGUGAAGGCAAAAGUGCUAUCGGUCUCUUUGCUUAUCAUUCCGUCUCUCUAUCAAUACGGCCAUCUUCCUCCUCCUCAUCUUCCUCCUCCUCCUCCUCUCUAUUAGAGACACAUUGAUCACCUCACCUGACUAAUGGCUAAGGGUGUCUGGGCCUUUAAAAAGUAGCCCGCCACAGCAGUGCCAAGCUCUUCAUCACAGUGACAAGGCAAAUGGCUCCUCUGCUAAUAAAGUGCGCCUGGACAAGUGUGUGUGUGCGUGUGUGUUGAGAAGGUUAUUAAUGACUUAAAGUGGUUUAGUAGCAGGAGUGCUGGUGGUCUGCUCUUCAUCUUGAGUAGUGUGUCCCAUCUAUUAAUGGCACAGCACAAAUACUCCUGCACAUCUUUUCUGCAUGAUAGGAUGAAGAGAGCUCUACACAGAGACUAAAUGUGAGGCGGAUAUGUCGUCCACUUGUGUACCAUGCUGUUUUAAGAUAAACCAGAAAGUGGGAAAAAGAACAGAAGAAGAGAGCACCACAAUUACAACUCCCCGCCAGUGCUGUUUUUCAUCCCCUGUGUUCUUUUCCGCGUAUUUAUUUUCCUAAAAGCAAAGGGCAGCCCGUGUUGGGGAGGAAACAGGGAAGAGGUGUCUGUGAAAUUCGACCGCUGGAUGGAAAACAGGCUUGUGUGUAUGUGUGUGUUAGUGUGUGUGUGUGUGUGUGUGUGUCAAAGAAAGGGCUGGGCGAGGUACCAAAUGAAGAAAAUUGGCAAAAAAUACAUCUACAUAUAGUACAUGUGCAUUAUUUUUGCGUUGGUGUAAUGUACCUCCAUGCCGCUAGAGGGACUCAUGCACUGUCAUGCAUUGUACUGGGAAGCGUGUAAAAUCCGUUGAACAUCGCAGGAAGUCAAUACUUUUUGACUGUCAAAUGUUUUCGGUCAAAAAUAUAAGUGGUUAUUUUCGUUAGCUUUAUGUUAUGAGUUGUCAAUUAUCUAUAAAGCAGCACGACUUUUUUUUCACCAACAUAACUGUCUGAUUACUUUCAUACUUUCAAGUCAGCUUAUCAGGCCCAGGAAUUCAUUCGGUGGAAAAUUGCUUCAUUUUGAUUCAUUUUGGAUUAUUGUUCGUUUGAAAAUUCCGGAUGUGACGCCGAAUACCAGCCUCAUCAAACCGGAAGAGACUCGUCAAUGCUGGCCAACGCUUAAUUGGGGUAUGUUGUUAUUAUUAUUAUCAUUAUUAUUAUUAUUUGAAUGGUUAUUGUUUACCACUGUUCACAAAAAUCCAAUGCAUUGUCCUUGAAAUUGUUCAUGGGGGCUGAAUUAAUAAAACUAGAAGAAGCAAAUGCACGAGACAUGUGUCAAACUCAAGGCCCGGGGGCCGGAUACGGCCCACCACAUCAUUUUAUGUGUAGCUUUUACUGUAUAUAAUAUGAGAUGCUCAUACAUUUAGUUGGGUUGAAGUUAUGACUACAAGCUAGAAGAUAACUAGAAGAAAGUUGACGAGGAAGGUCGUGUGAGGUGGCGUCGCCAUGGCAACUGUUUAGGCUUUUGGAUGAUCCCCCAACCCAUCCACCCCCUUAACCAUAAUGGGGCUGGUAAUGAAACCAGUCUGGCUUUCCUGGCUCAUACACACAUUCGUAGGGAGAGACGAGUAAGUAACACAUGUUUUGCUUUAGAACUUGUUUAUGUUCAUCCAACGGGGAGACAGCACAGCCGAUCAAUUAAAGCCACCGUCAUAAAACAACGCAGAAAAAAACAAAGCAACUGCUGGAUGCGAUGUGUUUUUGGGAGGCUUUUUAAUGUAUUUUCAUCUUUUUAUGUAUUAGACGUCCAUUUGCCUUCAAAGUCAAUCCAUUUAAAUUAUAAUUCAAAAGAAUUGUUUGGAGACCUGCCUUGAAAUAAACUAAUCAUUUUGGAGAAGAAUAUUCCUUAAAAUCCAUUUGAAUUUUAAAUGUGAUUCAAAAUGAAAUAUUUCGGACAAAAUUUGCCCCAGAAGUGCAACAAUUGUUUAAUUAACAAAAAUUAGGCUCACACACACACAAAAAAUGACUCACUCUAAAAGUUUUUUUCACUGGAUUGAUUCAAGGGUAGCAAAAGCCACCGCAAUAGAAUUGGUCACAUUUUAUUGCAUUUUAAGCGGCCUUGUUCUGAUCUCCAUUUUCGUGAUUAUGUUUGGAUCAGUUAAGUUAGGUCGGUCUGACCCACGUCGGAGGCGGAGCUCCGUUUGGGGAAUUCCCUUGCUGACUGACACUUUCUGACCCUCCUUUCUGGUGUCUCCAUUGUAAAAAGAAAAAUUAGACUGAAUGGGCCCGAUAUUGAUAUUUUUUAACCCCAAAAGAAUUCUCAUUCCCACUAAUAUGUGCAAUUCGGUGUGAAUGUAACAUUUUCCCAGCACAUUAUUUUGAAACACUCCAAUUGUAAGUGUUGUCCCACCUAAUUCCAUCACAGUUCAUUGUGUAGCUGCAGGAGCACAGUUGUUCUUUGUCCUGGCGUUGGCUCAUGCCCAAACUCAGCCCUUAGGAAAUUGCGGGCCAAUUUUUCCUGCGUUCAGAACAGCAAAAAAAAAAGAAAAAAAAUCUCCCGGAUGCCUUCAGCUGAACACGCCACUUAAAGGCAACAUAGUGUAUCAGCCUUUCUGUAUUUUUUAACAACCAAACUCAAAUAGAGCGCUUUGUUUUAUUGCAUCCAUUGCACUUACUGCUCUGAGGGGAGCGUUAAAAAAACAGCGCGGGAACAAUACGUGUACUAUGGCGCUGCAAUUUAUACAGUAUCGGCAGGAUUGAAACGUUUGGCAGCUUUGACUGGAAACUAACGACCCUUGUAAUAUAUUUUAUAUCUCCGUGCUUUGCGAUCACGGUUUAUCUUCUUUGAGCAGCGUAUGCUUUUUGCACAGGAAAUGCAUUAAAAAAAAAAAAAAAAAAGUUUGGACUGGAGGGAAAAAUCUUUGGCUAACAGUUCUCAUGAACUCUUUUGGCUCUUGAGAGCGUUUUGUAUUGUACAUUUGUUUUCUCUUGCCACUCAUAAAAGAAAUUCAUUUAGAAAAGCCUCAGAGGCUCAUAUAAUUAUUACAAAUAUUAACAUGGACAAUUGACUAAAUGGGGGGAAAGGUGACACUGACUAAUUUCCACCUCUGCUAGUUGAAGUAUUUCUAAUUUAUUGGCAGUUUUUAAAACAACUCAAACAUGAUCUACCCUCACAAUAAGCAGAGCCUGACUCGUCAAAUCCCGCCUGUAAAUCGUCAAGGGGGUGGGCGGCUCCGAUGUGUCACAAUAUGACUGAGCGCUUGUUUUGCUUAUCAA